GAAGCUUUGCAUGGUUUGUCUCUGGCCUUUUCCCGAUGGGUUUUGGUCUGAUGGUGCUACGAACACCAUUAUUGGCGAGUUUCACAGCCAGGUUUCUUACCUCUCACUGGUUUUACGAAACCCUAAUUUCUACCUAAACCUCUUAAUUCUCUGUCUUUUUAACUUACUCCUUUUGUGUUUUACACUACUCUCUACUCGAUCUUUACGAUUGUUCAAGUUUUAAACGUUUUCGUUUCCAUUUUCAAACUAGGGUUUCUGAACCCCUUUUCGAAAUCACUUUAUCUUUCUGAUUUUGAGUACUAUAUGUUUGUGUUUGUAUUAUUUGCUGGUUUGUGUGAUCUUCUGGGUUGUUCUCCGAGUUCUAUGCUUUAAUUUUUGUUGUUAGGGUUCCAACCUUCUACUGUUUCUGUGGUUUCUUGCUUAGGGUUAUCUGAUUUUCAUGCCUAUUGUGUUUUAUAGGUCUAAUUGUUCAUCGUUUACCAAAUAUUCUACUGAUUUUGUGCAUCUCUUCGAAUCCCUGAUUGGUAUAUGUUUUCAUUAGAAGUUUUACACUGAUUUUUUGAAUCACUUACUUAUUCGUGAAAUGCUCUCCUUACUUAGUACUGAUUCCCUGUGACUUUCAAUUUCAUCCGUGAUUCAUGCCUAUUGUGUUUUAUAGGUCUAAUUGUUCAUCGUUUACCAAAUAUUCUGUUGAUUUUGUGCAUCUCUUCGAAUCCCUAAUUGGUAUAUGUUUUCCUUAGAAAUUUUACACUGAUUUUUUGAAUCACUUCCUUAUUCGUGAAAUGCUCUCCUUACUUAGUACUGAUUCCAUGUGACUUUCAAUUUCAUCUGUGAUUCUCUGAACUAAUUUGUAUGUAAAAUAUGGUGUCCUUAAACUUUCCUUACUUGAAAUAUUCUGUAUUCAGUCCUUAUCACAUGCAUCAUACUCUUACUACUCCUAUUAUGGAAAUACCAGUCUUGCAAAUAAUAAUUUCCUUAUUUGAUACAAUUUGUACCUGUUUGAGCUAUGACUCCCUAAUUGAAGGGAGUCCGAGGCUUUAAUUGAUUCUAAUAGGCAUUAUUUCCAAAACAAUGAUCAGUCUAUACGUGUUACCUUAUUUUCCACUUGUUUUCAAAAACUAUAAAUAGUCUACCCUCUCUUUGGCAUAAGAGGACAUUCAGUGUUCUGAACUCUCUCUUACACACAUAAGCAUACUCACUGUUCUCUCUUGUUUCUCUACACAUCCUCUCUCACUUCCCCUGUUGACUACUGAUUACUCAGUCGGCUAAAACCAAGGCUGAGUGAUUUUGGGACUGCUCUACUAUACUGCUGCUCUACUUCUCUGCACACUAUUGCUCUAUAUUGUCUCAUCCUCGACUGGUAUGCCCUCUAUUUGAUUUACACCUCCCAAAACAAUAUGUUUUUAUACAUACUGCACUUUAUCUUAAAUCUUUCAUGCUUCUACUUAUGGUUCUGUUGUCUUCAUUGCAAUUAGCAUGCUUUUUUGCUAAUUCAUUGAUGUGAUCAUCUUUCCUGUAGUUCAUCCUGUCUAUGUUUCCUUUACUUGUUAAUACAUUUCUUCCUUAUCCCCCUAACCCCAAUACGUUAUCAGUCUAUAUUCAUAACCCUUCCUAGCUAUUAAAUAAUCCUGAAUCUCUUUGGGAGGGAGUAUGACUGUUGAAGGCUGAAGUGUUUUCUCUAAUGUCUAUGCUCUUACAUGUGAACUACUUGUCCCCACUUCCCUUUUUCCCUAUUUAUUCUUACUUCCCUGAACUAUAUGUGGUAUUUUGGCUCCGAGAUUGUCAAAAUUGUCACAUUGUUUUCUUUCAAAACUGGUUCUACAUGGACCAUUUUUUUUAAACUGUUUUUCAACUCAAUUUCUUUAAAAACUAUGUCACGCACUCUCACUAAUCCUAGAGUUUAGGUUCUACCCCCUUCGUAUAAGCAUUGCCUUAGGUACCCUUGAGUACUCAUUGAACUUUGAUGCACAAGGCUGGUAAUCCCACACUACACUUGUUCAACAUUUUGGUAGUGUUUGGGUGCUGGUAUUGGCGAAGGAUCUCAAUGGGCCUUUAGGGAGCUUUGUUGCACCCAAACCAUGGCAAAGGUUGUGAAACUCGAAAGAAGUGAGGUUGGAAGAUUGGGCCUGGUUAAAGGCUCCCUAUAGAGUAACUUCUUAUUUUUCUUUACUAAUGUAAUUCAGCUAUCAUGGUUUGUAAUAACUUGUAAACAACUGAUUGGGGCUAUAGUGAAGUUGGGUGGGAUUACGCAUGGUUAGUUUAAGUAAUAGGUAGAAAACAUGUCUAUAGGGCUUUACUUACCUAUUUGUGCAAUAGAAACCAUGUAUAGGACAUGCAUCUUACAUAUAGAAGUCCUGCUCUAGGAUCUUUACUUUCAGAUCAUUAUUAUACUCAUUUCGUCAUCACGAUUAGUAACCAACAAACAACUGUUAUAAAAAAAAUUACUACUGCAUUUAGAGAUCAUGUUUUAAGAGCUUUAUGUGCAUUAGACAUCAUGUUGCUUAGGAUUUUAUUUCAUCUGAGUUGCAAUUGCUGAACACCUCGCCAGUUGUUUAAUUUAAGUUUGAGCUAAACUGCGUCUUCUCUUUAAAAAUUUGGAAUUAGUAUGCACGUUCACAUUUUCAAGUAGGCAAUACAUACGACGCCUAGGCAAGCUUUAGGCCUAAUAAAAAUUGAUUGAUUUUGUUUUAUCAGUUUCAGACUACUCAGCCUCUUUUAACUUUCUGAACUCUGUUUGUCGUUUGCCUUUCUAAAGUUCACUCUUUCUUUGAAAUCUCUCUAUCUGGAAACCAGUUUCACAUUUAUACACUCUCGCUAAUUUUCUGAGUCUCGCCCUUUUAAGUUUUCGAGCUACUAGGUUAUCUUUCUGUCCAGGAACGUGUUAUUUCAAACUGUUGAUUUCAAAUCUCUACUUUCUUCAAACGAUGUUUUAACAAUUGUCUUACCUUUUACUUACUCAACUGUUGCCCUGUUAGAUGUAUUUCUGCAAGUCAAACAUUCAUCGCGCCAUUCAGGUUUUUUUUUUGAUUAAACCUUCUGCUUUCACUGAAGCUUAUCUUUUUCCGGCAUUCCUGUUUUUUUUUAAACUCUUAUCUUUAAGACCUUAAAUGUGUUUGAGACGUGCU
rnacentral:lncRNA from 1 species